UUUACUUACUCCUUUUCCUAAUCUAAGCCUGUGGCCUGGGGUGAAGGACAUAGAGAUGAAUCAGUCAUAGACUCAAUCUUGGCAGGGCUGUGGCUAAGGAAACAGGCAAUUACAAUAGGGUGUUAAUAGGAACUAAGAAAGAGGAAGUUCAGGGUAGGGACGGGAGGAGAGGCUGGGGAGCAGGGUCAGGGUCCAAGAAGACUGCAAAGAAGGAGCCGAGCUGGGUCUUGGGAGGAUGCUUCUUUUUGCCUCAGUUUCUUCAUCUGAGAAUUGUGUCCUCCUCAAAGAGUUGUGGGGAAGUGAAGUGAAAUUAUUCAUGUUCACUACUUGCUACAGGGGCCUGGAGCAUAGAAGGGGCUCUAUGAACAGAAGCUGGUAUCAUUAUGGAAAUGCUACAGGCAAAGUCAUAGAGAGGUUUGAGAUGGAAGAGCUUGUGCCAGCAUGUCUGGAAUGCAGGGUGCAUGGACCGAGUUAUGAAAGAUGAGGCCAGACAGCAAGAUGACAAGACAGCAAGAGCACAGCUAGUCAUAGGAGCCUGCUCCGGGCAUUAUCUCCUUCAAAUGCGUCAGCAGUUCCUUGGACAGGAUUAUUCUCGAUCCCAGUUCACAGAUGGAGAAACUGAGGCUCAGGUCAGUGAGGUCCCUUGUUUACACUGCACAGCUGAGAAAUGGCAGGACUGGGACGACCCAGAUUUCACUCCAAAACCACCGUCUCCCAGGUGGGCCUGAGAGCUGGCCAGUCUGAAGGGAUGGGGCAGCAGGAAGCCAGCUCUUACGCAGUAACCUGACACUGUUUUAGAUUAAGAAGUUUCUGCAGAGGGGCACAGGGACCUGCUGGCCUCACAGCCCUUGCCUGCCAGGGAUUUAGCAGGAAGAGCUGGCUUUUGUUCUAGAUGAAUCAGCCCAGCUGUUUCUGAAAGCCCAGCCCCUUUCUUCUGGGCUCAGCGGACCAGAAGGCAUUCAGCUGUCCCUGCAGGUCACCAGUUGGGUGGGAGCAGGCAGUACUGUGUGCACUGGACUGCACCAUUUACAGAGAGUUAUAUUAUGGCUCCAUGGAACAAUGGGCUUUUCAGAGGCUGGGCUGCAUCUUGGGCUGCAAGUUGUAGUAGAAACAAUCAGGGCCACAAUGCAUUACCUUCUUCGGAAUCCGAGGAACUAAAAACAAACAGACGAAAAAGUUUUCCAUAAUAGAGGACUGGAUUAAGGUUGUCAUCAAAAGUUGAUUUCUUUCCUCCACUUUCUCAUCCUCCUCUCCCUUCUCCUUACCCUUUGUGCGUCUCUCUUUUUCCCUCCUCAUCCUCCCUCUCUUCUUUCUCCUUUCUCACUGCGGUUUCAGCAACAGCCGCACUUUGCUGGAGUCCAAAGAGCCUUGCCCUAGGAAUUAGAACACCGCAGUUCACGCCCUGCCCCACCUCUUUCUUGCAGGAUAAUCCUGAGCAAGUCACUCAUUCUGCUGAACUUCCAUUGUCUCAUCUGCAAACUGAGACAAUAGAAGUAACCACCUCUGAGAAAGAUUAUACCUGGCUCAUAAACCCAGGGUUUUCCCAGCCCCUGCUUCUGCUGCACCCGCCUGGAGGAGAGCCAGAUGGCCUCUGUCUUGUAAGAUCUACUAAACUGUCCUUCGAAGCGUUAGACUUCGAGGCAAGUCAUCCUAGUUUGUCUUAUUUUACAGCUGUGAUUUGUAAAAACGUCUUCAAAAACCCAUAGCGCCCAUGCAACCAUUUCAGUUUUUUUUUUUUUCCAAAUCAAAACCACCGACUUGAGAAACCCAAGGCCUAAUUAACAAGAAACGUGGUGUUCCCGUGGUGGCGCAAUGGUUAACGAAUCCGACUAGGAACCAUGAGGUUGCGGGUUCGAUCCCUGACCUUGCUCAGUGGGUUAAGGAUCCGGCGUUGCCGUGAGCUGUGGUGUAGGUUGCAGACGCGGCUCGGAUCCCGUGUUGCUGUGGCUCUGGCAUAGGCCGGUGGCUACAGCUCCGAUUCGACCCCUCACCUGGGAACCUCCAUAUGCCGCGAGAGCGGCCCAAAGAAAUAGCAAAAAGAAAAGAAAAGAAACGUGAUAGUUCCAUGAUGGAGUUUUCCUCUCCAGAAUGCUCCCCAAACUUUGAGGCUGAAGCAGCCCCAGCAGGGAGGGCCUCUGCCCACCCCCACACCAAGCAGGCAGUCUGGAGUUUUGCUUACUACCUGGUGCACAGUCUUGCCGUUUUGACCCUGACCUCAGACAGAUGACCCUGCAGAUCCUGGUCCUUGAGCAGGUGCCAGGUCUCCAGGAGAUGCCCAGCCCCCUUACUGCUUAGCCUGGACCCUACACUCAGUUUCUCACACAGCCAUUCUCCAAGGUCCCAGCCUGCCAGGUGCGCCAUAUCAAAAAGUGUGUGCACUUCUGCCCUCGGGGACUCCAAACCGCCCUUGUUUUUUUUGUUUUUGUUUUUGUUUUUUUGUCUCCAGGUGCCCUACAUGUCUUCUUCAGGGACGAGAAAGCAACCUUUAGGCAGUUAAAGGUGAAUUACCAAGGAGUUCCCUUCGUGGCUCAGCGGUAAUGAACCCAGCUAGUAUCAUGAGGAUGCAGUUUCCAUCCCUGGCCUUGUCCAAUGGAUUAAGGAUCCGACAUUGUGGUGAGCUGCAGUGUAGGUCACAGAUGCAGCUCGUGUCCCACUUUGUGGCUGUGGCUGUGGCUGUGGCAUAGGCCAGCAGCUAUAGCGCCAAUUUGACUCCUAGCCUGGGAACAUCCAUAUGCUCCAGGUGCGGCCCUAAAAAAAAAGACCAAAAAAAAGAAAAGGUGAAUUACCCAAAGAGGACCUUUAAGCUCAUCUUUCCCNNNNNNNNNNNNNNNNNNNNNNNNNNNNNNNNNNNAUUUUCAGUGCCUAUGACACUCUUAAAUAUACCACUUAAUCAUGCCAUAAAAUACAAUCAACACAGCCUGGUUUUAUGGGAUCCAAGAAAAGCUAUGUGAACCUUACAUGCUGAGAGCCCUGGGUUGGUACACUCUACAUUUUAUCACCAUUCAGACAAAUUCUAAGCUUUUUCAGUCUGCUAUUGGUGGCCGUAAAUGAUCUGGCCUUGCUUUAUCUCUCCAGCUUUAUCUCAUUCCUUUGCACCUGAACCCUCUACCACUGAAUCACCUGUGGAUUUUCCAGCAGGUCCUGCUUUCUGUCACCUCAACAUCUCUAAACCUUUGUACCCCAGUUCUCUAUGAUUGCCCAUCUUGUCUUGAUAUUCCCCCCCCCCAUCUAACUCUUCCCUAUCUUUUCAGAUUUAGCUUUGGGGGAACCUCCCUGGCAAAGCCUUCCCUGACUCCUCCAUAUAUUACAUCCUGCAUGCUCCCACGAUCCCUUGCAAUGCCUCUAUCGUAGCACUUCCUGGACCAUUCUGCCCAAAUAGGUUCCCAUGUCCUAUUAUUCUUCAUUCCAGAACCCUGCUUCAUUCCCUUAUAAAUGAUGGCUGUUUGUAAUGAUGUAAUGAUGGUUUGUUUCCUGUCUCCCUCACUAAACUAUGAGCUCCCUGAGGGCAAGGCCGGAUAUCUCACCCUCUGCUGCCAGCAUCCCAGGCAGAGCAGACCCUCAGUACACACUUAUUCAAUUGAAUUGAAAUGGCACAUCACACUGUACUAUAAUCAUCUGUUUAUGGGGAGCUCCCUGGUGGCCUGGUGGCUAGGACUCAGUGCUUUCACCACUGCGGUUACAAUCCCUGGCCUGGGAACUGAGAUCCCACAUCAAGCCACUGCAUGCUGUGACACAAAAAAGAAAAAAUCACCUGUUUAAGUUCUUAGCUGUACCAGUGAACCCCUCAUGGGCAGGGGACCAAGUCUUGUUCACUAUUAUGCUCCCGGGACCCAGUGCAGACCUUGGUAUACAAUAGGAGACCAGUAAAUGCAGAACAAAUAAAUGAAGUAGAUGAAUAAAGAGCAGCACUAAUGUGAAAGCAGGAUGAACAAAUGAUCAAACAAAAGGCAUUCCCAAUGACCUUUCCGAAACAACCAAUUGCCAGCUGUGACGCUCACUAUUUGAAAUAAACAUAAGCCUCCUCUCUUGAUUCUCUUUGCUUGUACUACUGGAAAAAAAAUUAUAAUGGAGUUGGUCAAGGCUAACCUUUAAAAAACAAUCACCACAGAAACCCAAUGAGUGGUGUAAUGAAUAGGUAAGACAUUGAUAUCAAUUUACAUUAAUUAGUAAGGCUAAGAUACCCUCUCAAAAUGUCUGCUUCCGUAACCUUCUAGAUUUGUAUCAAAUAUCACUCCUUGGUUUUUUCCAAGUUUCAUAUUUUAAAAAAGUUUGGGUCAUAUUUUAAAACAACACCGAAGUGUGUGUGUGUGUGUGUGUGUGUGUGUGUGUGUGUGUGUGUGUGUAAAGGGAAAACUUCUGUUUCUUCUCUGCUACUCACCUAGAAUUUUACUUCUAACAUCAGGUGUGUGGGUUUUUUUUUUUUUCUCCCCCACACUGACUGAUUCUGUGACACCAGCUGGGUGUCCUACAGUUCAAUUCAAUUCUGACAGUAUCCCAAGCAAGCAUCGGAAGAUAAUCUUCUUACUAGGUGACCAGUGUAUAGUAAGGGAUACAAGUCAGGCACAGCCUGAUGGAAGAGACACACAGGGCAAGAUGUGGAGGAAGAGACACUGGACUUCCAUGCCCUCUCUGGGGGCACCGUGCUCUCAUGUGUUCAGCAAACCAGAAGCUCCCUGAACCACACAGUUCAGGAAUGUUUAUGGAGGCUUCAUCUUCUACGUGUGAUCAAGUAUGAACUCAAUCUCCAGCCCUUCUUCCCUUCUCAAAGCCUGGAGGAAUGAGGCUCAAAGUUGCAAACUUCUAGUCAUGGCUUUGUUUUUCUGGUGACCAGCCCCCAUGUUGAAGCCAUCCACAAGCUCACCAAGUCUCCUGGUUAGAACAAUAGAUACUCUGGGGGGGGAGGGUAGGGGAAUGCGCUGAGGGGAGGGAUGGAAAUCCUAUAAAAUUGGAUUGAGGUGAUCAUUGUACAACUAUAAAUGUAAUAAAUUCAUUGAGUAAUAAACUUUUUUUUAAAAAAAGAAAAAAACAGCAGGAAAAAAAUCACCUAUAAUUCCACCCACCCAGUGUGGGUGGUGUGACCACUUUGCCUUAUUGCCUUCUAGUCCCUAUCCUUGCAUAUAGUUGAGAUCAUAUUAUGUGUAUACAUAUUCGGUUUCUGCCUAAAAAAGCCAUGCUUUGUGGUUUUGUCCUGUGAUUUAUUUUUAUUUUAUUGAGGUAUAGUUGAUUUAGAAUGUUGUGUUAAUUUCCGCUGUACAGCAAAGUGAUUCAGUUAUACAUAUAAAUAAAUUCUUAAAAAAAAAAAAAAAAAAA
rnacentral:lncRNA from 1 species